AGACCCGAAACCCGGUGAUCUAGCCAUGGGCAGGUUGAAGGUUGGGUAACACUAACUGGAGGACCGAACCGACUAAUGUUGAAAAAUUAGCGGAUGACCUGUGGCUGGGGGUGAAAGGCCAAUCAAACCGGGAGAUAGCUGGUUCUCCCCGAAAGCUAUUUAGGUAGCGCCUCGUGAAUUCAUCUCCGGGGGUAGAGCACUGUUUCGGCUAGGGGGCCAUCCCGGCUUACCAACCCGAUGCAAACUGCGAAUACCGGAGAAUGUUAUCACGGGAGACACACGGCGGGUGCUAACGUCCGUCGUGAAGAGGGAAACAACCCAGACCGCCAGCUAAGGUCCCAAAGUCAUGGUUAAGUGGGAAACGAUGUGGGAAGGCCCAGACAGCCAGGAUGUUGGCUUAGAAGCAGCCAUCAUUUAAAGAAAGCGUAAUAGCUCACUGGUCGAGUCGGCCUGCGCGGAAGAUGUAACGGGGCUAAACCAUGCACCGAAGCUGCGGCAGCGAACGUAUCACUUAAAGCGAUUCAGCGGAUGACGAUUGACGGAGCGAAGCGACGUCAAAGCGUAUACAAAGUCGAGUCGGUUUAAGGAUACGUUCGUUGGGUAGGGGAGCGUUCUGUAAGCCUGCGAAGGUGGCCUGUGAGGGUUGCUGGAGGUAUCAGAAGUGCGAAUGCUGACAUAAGUAACGAUAAAGCGGGUGAAAAGCCCGCUCGCCGGAAGACCAAGGGUUCCUGUCCAACGUUAAUCGGGGCAGGGUGAGUCGACCCCUAAGGCGAGGCCGAAAGGCGUAGUCGAUGGGAAACGGGUUAAUAUUCCCGUACUUGGUGUUACUGCGAAGGGGGGACGGAGAAGGCUAUGUUGGCCGGGCGACGGUUGUCCCGGUUUAAGCGUGUAGGUGUGUGUUCCAGGUAAAUCCGGUUCACUUUAACACUGAGGCGUGACGACGAGGCACUACGGUGCUGAAGCAACAAAUGCCCUGCUUCCAGGAAAAGCCUCUAAGCAUCAGGUAACAUCAAAUCGUACCCCAAACCGACACAGGUGGUCAGGUAGAGAAUACCAAGGCGCUUGAGAGAACUCGGGUGAAGGAACUAGGCAAAAUGGUGCCGUAACUUCGGGAGAAGGCACGCUGACACGUAGGUGAAGUGAUUUACUCAUGGAGCUGAAGUCAGUCGAAGAUACCAGCUGGCUGCAACUGUUUAUUAAAAACACAGCACUGUGCAAACACGAAAGUGGACGUAUACGGUGUGACGCCUGCCCGGUGCCGGAAGGUUAAUUGAUGGGGUCAGCGCAAGCGAAGCUCCUGAUCGAAGCCCCGGUAAACGGCGGCCGUAACUAUAACGGUCCUAAGGUAGCGAAAUUCCUUGUCGGGUAAGUUCCGACCUGCACGAAUGGCGUAAUGAUGGCCAGGCUGUCUCCACCCGAGACUCAGUGAAAUUGAACUCGCUGUGAAGAUGCAGUGUACCCGCGGCAAGACGGAAAGACCCCGUGAACCUUUACUAUAGCUUGACACUGAACAUUGAGCCUUGAUGUGUAGGAUAGGUGGGAGGCUUUGAAGUGUGGACGCCAGUCUGCAUGGAGCCGACCUUGAAAUACCACCCUUUAAUGUUUGAUGUUCUAACGUGGACCCGUAAUCCGGGUUGCGGACAGUGUCUGGUGGGUAGUUUGACUGGGGCGGUCUCCUCCUAAAGAGUAACGGAGGAGCACGAAGGUUGGCUAAUCCUGGUCGGACAUCAGGAGGUUAGUGCAAUGGCAUAAGCCAGCUUGACUGCGAGCGUGACGGCGCGAGCAGGUGCGAAAGCAGGUCAUAGUGAUCCGGUGGUUCUGAAUGGAAGGGCCAUCGCUCAACGGAUAAAAGGUACUCCGGGGAUAACAGGCUGAUACCGCCCAAGAGUUCAUAUCGACGGCGGUGUUUGGCACCUCGAUGUCGGCUCAUCACAUCCUGGGGCUGAAGUAGGUCCCAAGGGUAUGGCUGUUCGCCAUUUAAAGUGGUACGCGAGCUGGGUUUAGAACGUCGUGAGACAGUUCGGUCCCUAUCUGCCGUGGGCGCUGGAGAACUGAGGGGGGCUGCUCCUAGUACGAGAGGACCGGAGUGGACGCAUCACUGGUGUUCGGGUUGUCAUGCCAAUGGCACUGCCCGGUAGCUAAAUGCGGAAGAGAUAAGUGCUGAAAGCAUCUAAGCACGAAACUUGCCCCGA
rnacentral:rRNA from 1 species